rnacentral:rRNA from 1 species
UACGUAGGGGGCAAGCGUUGUCCGGAUUCAUUGGGCGUAAAGAGCGUGUAGGCGGCCAGGUAGGUCGGUUGUGAAAACUGGAGGCUCAACCUUCAGAGGUCGACCGAAACCAUCUGGCUAGAGUCCGGGAGAGGAGAGUGGAAUUCCUGGUGUAGCGGUGAAAUGCGCAGAUAUCAGGAAGAACACCCGUGGCGAAGGCGGCUCUCUGGGACGGUACUGACGCUGAGACGCGAAAGCGUGGGGAGCGAACAGG